UGUGUGUACACAUCAUAUCAUGCAUACUUGUUUCUACAUGCGUGGCUUUUUCUGUUGGGGCCAAAGUUCCUAUCGCGCGCGUUUCACGCGCUUACGCAUACAUCAUCCGCAAGCAAAGUGAAUUUAUUGUCAUUGUCGCAUCUUGCGCACAAUUUGGACAGUGAACAAAACAUCUUCAUUGUUUGCUCUUUUGUGACGCUUUUUCAAACGAGUAAUGCUGGUUUAAUUUCCAUAUUGUGUUGUGCCUCCUAGUCGCCCUGCAUUAAUGCACAAAGUGGCUCCUUGCGUUAAUGUGCAGCUGUAGCAAUGCAUAUGGCGUGUGGUGUUGCAAAACCGUGCAACGACUGUUGCAGUUGCUGUUAUAGAAAGACACGAUCAAACAACUACAACUUUAAAAUGGGAUUGAGUGUUCGACAAUGAAACUGAUGCAGCUGGACUUUGUGUUUGGUACGAGGGCAAUAUGUAUACUUUUUUUGCGGAAUUGUUUGACCUUAUAGUAAAAAUAUGAAUGAAACAAAAAAAAACAUAAUUACGUACAAACUAUUACGUUACAGAUAUCAUGUAU